rnacentral:lncRNA from 1 species
ACCACACAGCCUCAUCUAUAGCUGUACAUGCGUGUGUGUGUGCUCAGUUGCUAUAGUUGUGUCUGACUCUUUGAGACACAGUGGACUGUAGUCUGCCAGGCGCUUCUGUAGGCAAGAGUACUGGAGUGGGUUGCCAUGCCCUCCUGUAGGGGAUCUUCCUGACCCAGGGAUUGAACCUGAGUCUUCUGCAUUGCAGGCGGAUUCUUAACUGCUAAGCUACCAGGGAAGCCCCCAUAGCUGUACAUGAGACUGUAAACCAUAGGAAUGAUUUAGCGAGCUGGCAUCUCUUUGUAUGCAAAGGAGAGAAAGGUUCCUGAAGAAGAAUAGCAUUAAAGACAAAGAGACCUGAAGAAGUGGUGUUUAAAGGCCGCAUGAGUAACCUGCGUGCAGAGGGGUCUACUUAGGGGUGAGGCAAAGCUGCUUCUCUAUUUGUGUAGACCAGGCCCUGCGCAAGGAGGCGUUACGCUGUUACAUGAAUGGUGCUCCCUGGAGUUGUGCAAUAUAUGGCAGACCUGCACAGAUGAGCUCUUUCUUGUGAAAGCCUAAUUGUUAGAUGCUCUCCCUUGGGAGCUGAAAGACAGACUCCAUGUUCAUAGUUCACUCAAAGUCUGACCAGUCUAAAUGACCAUUUCCUUUUGCGUUUUCUGUAAUUCUUCAACAAAGCCAUGCACAUAUAAUUGCAGUGUGGAGUGCUAUUGUGGUGGCCAAGAAAGAGGAGAGAGAUGUGUUGUCCCACCUUGAUUCGCCCUGGGUUCCAGUAGAAGACGGAUAAUGACGUCCUGGAUGGGAUGUGGUUCCAGAUCCGUAGGGUGACCAGAGGCUUCACGAAUCCCGCUGGGCCUGGUGCCUGGGUGCUGCAUCCUGGGGAGACGAGGGUAAGCGGAGGGUGGGGCUCUCUUUCUUGGGGACCUUGACCCCCCUCCCUUUCUCUCCCCUCCCGGGUUGCCGGGGGCCCAGCCACGUGCAGGCUGUGGC